UGCAGAACAGUGGCGUGCCAUGUUUAUG
rnacentral:piRNA from 1 species